UCUAAAACUCUAUGAAUACAAUAUUUCGGGGGAAAAAAGUUCAAUGAUAUGCUACCACCCAGACCCACGCCAUCAUCAUCAUCUUCCCUGAAGAGCUGAAACCUUACACUGGACCAAGAAGUUUGAAAAUCUUAGAUCUUAUAUGGAGAAAAUAUAGACAAGAAGACAAAUUUUCACAAAGGCUGGAAGCUUCAUGAGAACCAAAACAACUCUGGCCCCAGCUCCAGGCAAAGCGUCGGACACACAGGAGGCAGGCAAACACUUGCUCAAUAUUGAAUGACUGUGUAAUUUUCAGGAGUUUCCACAAAUACUGUAACUCUCACUCAAAGAUGUUUGGAUCUUCUCCCUUUCAGCACCUGGAGAGCAGGUCUUACAUGUGCUGCAUCCUUGUGGAGGUACAUAAUUAACACACUCAGCCAGACCUGCGCUCUUUCCAAUCAUAUGAGUGAUUGUAAGUGAACUGCCUGGAAUUAGAUAAUGCUAGACUCAUACAGUAACGAAUGAUUAUGUUUCAGUAAAAUUGUGUUCUACUCAGCCAGCACAAGUGUGGUUAUAAAGCUAAUCAGACUAAGCAGCUCCAGGAGCAUGUGGAAAAGAUGCCUCUCAGUGUUACCCAACUCGAUGGGAGAGCGAACUGGGGGAGUUAGACACCAGCUGCCAUCAGUCAUUAGUUGAGGGCUAUUCCCAGAGGAAUGUUUGUUCCUUUGUAUUUCUGGCCUGUUCUCUUUGAGAGCACAGCAGAAUUAGGUGGGUCAGAGAAAGUUGGUCAGGCCUAUGGGGAAAGAGGUGAGACACUAAAAGUACCUGCUACAAUAAAGCAUUUCAGGAGAUGAGCUGCAUAAUUUGAGAAGAAUGGUUAGGUAAAAUUUGAUAAUUUCCUCAAAUAACAGUUUAUCAUUACAGUUUUUUGAAGCAUUAGGAAGAAACUUGUAAAAGGAAAAGAGUGAUAAGCUACCAUGUAUUUUCCAUAUGCUUAUAAGCACAAGUCUUAUAUGCAUGUAUUCAUUGUUUUGUCCCCCUUCCUACUUUUGAGGGGUCAUACAAUACAGAUUCAUACUUGAUGAGUAUAAUGCCCCCAAGUGGAAGAUUUUUCUGUUACUUGACUGACACUUUAUUUUACCCAUUUGCCACUUAAUCUCUUCAUUACUGUUAUCCAUAUUAAAACAUCUUUACUUUCUCCUGUUGAAAAAGUUCAGUGAUUUACCCUGACAACUAUAGCUGAGAACAUACUUGCAACUUAAGCUUUGAAGCACAAAUGAACAUGUUCUUACAUCUGAAAAAUAGCCUCAGUCAAAUAAGGCCAGAACAAUGGAUACAGAGCAGCUUGCAAAGCAAGGGUAUCUAGUUCUCCAGCUUAUAGUUGAAGAAAUUGCAUGUCAAAAUCAACAAUUGUUUCAUUGCUAAACACUCAUUACUGGGAAUGAGUGUGUCAGCAAAAAUUUGCUUUGAAUCAUCACUCCUUUUCUUAACAGUGUGAUGUUGACUAAGUUUCUAAGUUCUCUGUAAAGUGUGCUCAAUAACUCAAGCUUCUCCUAGGUUCUAUGGAGUGUGAGAUAAGGUAUCUAGCACUGUGCCAGAUACACAUGGUCAAUACAUGCUAGUUUCCAUUAUUCUUUCCAGUCUAUGUUCACAUGUUUUCUUUACGCAUUGGUUUCAUAACAAAUCUUCAAAACUCCUGAAGUCCAGGAAUGUGAUGCAGGAGAACACACUUUCUAUAAAAAUAUCCAUGCAACAAAAUAAUAUAUUAGCCCAUGAAGCCUGAUGUCAUUUCUGCUUGCUUGAUCCUUUUGUUACUCUGUAACUUAGCAAUUCCUAACCAGGUACAACUGUCCUAUUCUCUGGACCACUAAAAUAAAUAAACCUGAUAUCAAAAUAGCAUAGAAGGCUUGCAGCAAUCAGUGGUUUGGUGGGUG